UCCCUGGUGGUUUAGUGGUUAGGACUUAGCACUUUCACCUCUGCUGCCCGGGUUCGACCCCUGGUCUGGGAA
rnacentral:tRNA from 1 species